UCCCUGGUGGUCCAGUGGUUAAGACUUUGCCUUCCAAGGCAGGGGUGUGGGUUCAAUCCACACCCCUGGAG
rfam:Ovis aries breed Texel chromosome 3, whole genome shotgun sequence.